rnacentral:misc_RNA from 1 species
UAAUGAGUUAUCGUAAUAACCACUAGCAAAACCUCUGUUUUUAGCUAAGUUUAAGCAAUUGUUAAUGAUUAGAUCAAUGAAGUGAAGAUUUUUAUAUUUCAAAAGCUUAAAUGCCUUGAUCUAUGAGAAAUUGAGAAUGCAUCCCAACUUUGAACUUGCCAAAUUAGUAUGAUGGGUUUUGGACUUAAUGACAGUAACAAGUUUCUUCUAUUACAUGGCCCAUCGUGCUUGUUCUGAGGUACAGUGUGGAAAUUGGAGUGCCCACACAACGCAGUUAUGAAUGACAAAACUACUUUUUUUGGUGGUGGUUUAUAGUGGUGGUGGGGGAAGUGUUGUAUACGAUACAGCAUAUUUGCAUUUAUGCUUGAAAUAUAUGGUGCAGUGACAUUGAUUCUUCUUUUCAUUCUAUUAUUUGACAAGAUAACACUAAAUUGAUUCUUGCUUCUGACAUGUCAUAAAUGAUUUCUAAUUGCAUUAGUAGAGACAGUUUUACAUUUUUAUUGAAUCAAUGCAUGAUAAUUGAAUGAACGAGGAUAUUACUAUUGCAGUACUAAUUAAGUAAUUAUUAAUCUAGAGCGAGG